GAUGAAGAACGUAGCGAAAUGCGAUACGUAAUGUGAAUUGCAGAAUUCAGUGAAUCAUCGAAUCUUUGAACGCACAUUGCGCCCCUUGGUAUUCCGAGGGGCAUGCCUAUUCGAGCGUCAUUAUCACCCCUCAAGCCUAGCUUGGUGUUGUGACCUGCUGUCAAGGCAGUCUCUAAAAUCAGUGGCAGUGCUGUCAGGCUCUAAGCGUAGUAAAUCUAAUCGCUAUAGACACCUGGUGGACACUCGCCAGAACCCCCCCAUUUUUUAAUGAUUGACCUCGGAUUAGGUAGGGAUACCCGCUGAACUUAAGCAUAUCAAUAAGCGGAGGA
rnacentral:misc_RNA from 1 species